rnacentral:rRNA from 1 species
UACGUAGGGCGCAAGCGUUGUCCGGAAUUAUUGGGCGUAAAGAGCUCGUAGGCGGCUUGUCACGUCGGAUGUGAAAGCCCGGGGCUUAACCCCGGGUCUGCACUUGAUACUGCCUCGCUAGAGUACUGGAGAGGAGACUGGAAUUUACGGUGUAGCAGUGAAAUGCGUAGAUAUCGGGAGGAACACCAGUGGCGAAGGCGACUUCCUGGCCUGUUCUUGACGCUGAGGCGCGAAAGCUAGGGGAGCAAACGGG